GCCAGGUGUGGUGGUGGGCGCCUGUAGUCCCAGCUACUCAGGAGGCUGAGGCAGGAGAAUCGCUUGAACCUGGGAGGCCGAGGUUGCAGUGAGCCGAGAUUGUGCCACUGCACUCCAGCCUGGGUGACAAAGCGAGACUCUGUCUCAA
rnacentral:SRP_RNA from 1 species